rnacentral:pre_miRNA from 1 species
CAUGGAAUUUCUGGAUCAUAUGGUAGGUAUGUAUUUAACUCUAAAGCAAACUGCCAAACAGUUUUCUAGAGUGGCUGUACAUUUGUCAUUUCCAUCAACAAU